AUGGCUGUACCACUUAAAGUCAAAAUAUUCAUGUGGUAUCUCCGUAGGGGAGUUGUGCUAACAAAAGACAACCUCGCACGAUGCAACUGGUCGGGAAGUUAUUUUCCGUUGUACGUACUCGCUUCAUACGUGGUGUAUGCUACAACGAGCGGAGUACCAACCGCUGUUCAAGGCGGUGUGUACGCUGUUGGAGCAGGUGGCUACGGAGGUUUUUACCCAACAUGGAUGGCAGCAUAA
rnacentral:rRNA from 1 species